GGGGGCGUUCUUGGAUUCGACGGGGAUAGUUCGAGCAUGAGUAGCGGGUAGUGGGGACGCGUCCACUUCAUCAACGCUAAAGCCAAUAAUAACUGGCAAACAACAAACUUCUUACGCUGUAGCAGCUUAAUAACCUGCACACGUGCUCUCGCUCUGCAUCGCCCAUGUGCCGGGAUGAGGGCUCAACUUUAGUGGGAUACGCUGUCUAGUCUCCGCCUGGGGCUAGCUGAAGAAGACAAACAGGCUGACCCUAUCGGGAUCCGGUGACGGGGAGCCUGGUAGGGUGACAUCAAAACUGUCACUACACCCGUAGAAGCUUAUGUGGCGUUAUCUUCGGACAGGGGUUCGACUCCCCUCGCCUCCAUAA
rfam:Paenibacillus rhizosphaerae strain FSL R5-0378 NODE_7_length_310004_cov_1.919_ID_3982, whole genome shotgun sequence.